rnacentral:lncRNA from 1 species
CCAAUGCCUGCACAGCCUGCAUCUGCCAGGACGGGGCAGCACGCUGUGGCCCUCGGCCCGAGCUGCCCCACUGCCAACGCUGCAGCCACAAUGGUCAGGUCUGUGGUAAUGGGGAGACGUUCUCCCCAGACACCUGCACCUCCUGCCUCUGCCUGGUGAGUUCCCACGCCCUCCCUCCAGCUCCCCAUCACUAGGUGCUGGGACUGGAUAUUGUGUGAUGGGUUCUUGCCCCUGGUGGCCUUGGGCUGAUUCUCUGGGGGUCUGCUGUCUGAAGUGCAACCCCCCCCCAAGCCUCAAGCCCCUUGAUUUUGCCUUGACAAAGAGUGGCAUGGGGGCCAGAGGAUGUAGUUACUAUCUUCUUUCCUCAAACCCUCUCCUGUGUGACGAGCGCUGUUGCCCUCACCCCACCUCAUCUGCUACCUCACAUUUCCACUGCCUGCUUUCUGUCACUUCCUCCAUGGCCUUUUCUCCUGGCCUUUUCUUUCCUACUCCUCCACUGAGAAAGCCCUGGGUUCUCUUCCUAGGAUCUCUCCACUCUGGGGAAGUUGCUGGCACCUGGAGAAGCGGGUUCCAAGGGGUCAAGGGCUUCAGGAAUGGUGGGGUGGAUGGGACAUCUCUUUUCUGCCCUUGGGCUGGGGUAGCAUGUAUGCUGAGCCAGCUCAUCCUCUGCUUCUGGACACAUUCCUGCCUGGGGUGAGUCUGGAGUUCGGAAGGCCCUGCAGUCACCCUAGCUGCUUCCACAGGAAGGGGCCAUCACCUGUACCCAGAAGCCAUGCCCAAGAGCACCCUGCCCUGAGCUGGGAGCAUGCUGCCCACACUGUGAACCAGGUCAGCAUGCUACAGGCCCUGCCCUCCCUCCUGGUUGUGCCCUGGGGGACCUGACAGAGAGAGAGAGCAGAGCUGAAGAAACCCUGUGAUGGUGCCUGGUGAGUGCUGAGCUGAGCUGGAGCCAGCAAAUGCUGACGCUGCCCUGGGAUGCAUCAAAGAUUAUCAGGACCCUGAGGAGCUUCUGGUCUAGUUGAGAAGAUAAAUUUACAGCUAAUCUAUCACAAGAUUUAAGAUCCAAUGAACAGAUUAGGAGAUGUAGAAG